AAGGAACGAAGCAAAGAAGGAAGGAAGGAAGGUGUGAAGGAGGGAAGGAAGGAAGGAAGGAGGGAGGCAGGGAGGGAAAGAAGGAAGGAGGGAAGGAAGGAAGGAAGGAGGGAAAAGAAGGAAGGAAAAUUCAAACGUAACUAGAGAUUUCCAAUUCUGACAACCUACAAAUUAGAGAUCCUGAUGAUGCCUCUUAAAACCCUUAAAAAUUCUGAAUGAAAUAUGGUGACAUGGCCUGGGGGUGGUAACUAUAACUGAGCUAGCAGGAAAUAUACAGGGCCCAAAAGGACAUGAAAGUAGGAAUCCAGAGAGAUGGGUGAGGGCUGAAGCCAGAGCUGCCGUGGAAGUGCGUGUUGAGCCUGGUGACCCAGAUCUUUAGUUAAAAUGGUCCACACAGGACGCUAGCGGCGAAGUGCCGAGUCCUCACAGGGAAGAGAGAGAGACUGGGAGGAAAGAUUUGCAAUGCCUUUAACCAAACAAGAUUUGUGUCCAGAAUAUGUGCACAACUCCUAAAUAUUGCCAAGUCACAAGCAUUCAGAUAAACACAUGGAAACCUACAUGAAAGGGUAUUUAACAGAAGAAAACAUGAAUGGACAAUCACACAAAAAAUGCUUAACCUCAUUGGCAAUCCAAGUAUUGCAAAUUAAAAGUCAUGAUGAGAUGUGCCUGCACCGCUACCACUAGAAUUUAAAAGGAUUGACAAUACCAAGUGCUGGAGAGAACGUGUAGCAGCGAGAACUGUCGUACAUUGCUGGUGGGAGUGGAAAUUGGCUUAGCCACUUUGGAAAACUGUUAAGAAAUUAUCUGCUAAUGCUAAACAUGCCUACCUUGUGACCCAGCAAUUCCUCUCCUAGUAUAUACAAAAUGAGUGCAUAAGUAUAGAAAGGGACAUGAAUAAGAAUGUUAGGCUGGGCACGGUGGCUCACGUCUGUAAUCUCAGCACUUUGGGAGGCUGAGGCAGGUGGAUCACCUGAGGUCAGGAGUUCGGGACCAGCCUGGCCAACAUGUUAAAACCCCAUCUUUACUAAAUAUAAAAAAUUAGCGGGUGUGGUGUCACACACAUGUAGUCCUAGCUACUUGGGAGGCUGUGUCAGGAGAACUGCUUGAAGCCAGGAGGUGGAGGUUGCAGUGAGCUGAAAUGGUGCCACUACACUCCAGCCUGGGUGACAGAGCGAGACUGUCUUCAAAAGAAAGAAAGAAAGAAUGUUAGCAGUUUAAUUUGUGUUAUCUCCAAACUGGAAAUGGCAGAAGUGUCUAUCAAUUAUGGCUUAUUCAUGCCAUAAAAUAUUAUAUGACAAUAAAAAAUUCCUGAUAAAUACCUCAAUAGGGUUGAAUCUCACAGCCAGACACAAAAGAGCACACUCUUUAUGGUUUGAUUUAUGUGAAGUUCAAGAAAAGAUAAAACUAAGCACUGUUAAUAGCAAUCAUUUCUAAGAGCGAUGUGCCUGAGAAUGGACACAAGGACCCUGGGGGGACGUAAAGGUUCUGUAUCGAUCUGGGUAGUGGUUACACUCAAAUCCUGAGCUGUGCACCUAAGUUUGUAGCCGUUCUUGUACAUGGCGUAUGUUAAUUACACAGCUGAAUACAUUUGAGACAGGCUUAAGUAGCAAUACACACACACACACACACACACACCUGAAGAGAAAAAUAUUUAAAAGACAUGAAUGGGCUUUUUUGGUUUGUUUUAGAGAUGGUUUCACUCUUGUCACCUAGGCUGGAGUGCAGUGGUGUGAUCGUAGCUCACUGCAGCCUCAAACGCCUGGGCUCAGGUAAUCCUCUUGCCUUAGCCUCCCAAGUGGCUGGGACUAUAGGGAUGUACCACUACACUCGACUAAUUUUUUUAAGAGAUGGGGUCUUGGCUGUGGGCAGUGGCUCAUGCCUGUAAUCCCAGUACUUUGGGAGGUCAAGGUGAGCGGAUCACAAGGUCAGGAGAUCAAGACCAUCCUGGUUAACACAGUGAAACCCUCUAUCUACUAAAAAUACAAAAAAUUAGCCAGAUGUGGUGGCACGUGCCUAUAGUCCCAUCUACUCGGGAGGCUGAAGCAGGAGAAUUGCUUGAACCUGGGAGGUGGAGGUUGCAGUGAGCCAAGAUCAUGCCACUGCACUCUAGCCUGAGUGGCAGAGUGAGACUCUGUCUCAAAAAUAAAAAUAAAAGAGAUGGGGUCUUAAAUACCUGGGCCCACCUGAGUGAUCCUGAGUGAUCCUCCACUUCAGCCUCCCGAAGGGCUGGGAUUAUAGGCAUGAGCUACUGCAGCUGGCCCAUGAAUGGGCAUUUUACAGAAGAAAACAUGAUCAGCCAGUUAAAUAUAUGACAAAGGCACCACUUCAUUAGUAAUCAGGGAAAUGCGGAUUCUAAUAGCAUACUGUUACUGCUCCCAGACUGGCAACAAUCUGACAGAUCUGGCAGUUUCUAAUAUUGAGAGAAUGGGGAGCAAGGGAAACUCAAAGACUGCGGUAGGGUGGACCACGCCUCACCACUCUGGGAAACAAUUGGCGUCAUCUGGUGAAGUGCAGCUACGUGCCCUGUGAACAGGCCAGUCUCAAGAGGACACAGGUGCGCUACUGUGUACAUCAGCGGCACCAGCAAGCUCCUUAAACCCCAGACUUCUGCCUUCCAUAUGCAGCGAGGGUGAGACACCGCCUUGAGAAACGGUUCCCAAGGAUGAAGCUGCAAGCAAGCGGGGCAUGUAGCCGAGGGACUCUAGGGGGAUCCCUGCUGGAGUGCCUGCAUUGAAUCACUCCUACUCCUUGUGCUUCCCGGGGUGUUCCAGGGGCUCUUGGAGGGCCGUAUCUCAUCGAUGUCCUCGGUGAGAAUUCUAAGCAGGGGACCCAGGGUGGUAGAUGUUACAGUUUCUCAGGAAAGAAUGCCAGGGAUGUCCCUAAUAUUGUUGAAAUCCUCCCUCUUACCCCCAGCUUCCUUUCACGUUUUAGGAGAAAAGACAGAAGGGAGGAAAAAGUAACAAAACCUGAAAACGGAAGGGCAGCCACUCCUCUCGUUAGCUGUGGAGGGCUGGGCUGUGGUCCUGGAGGGAACACGGCCCUUCAGCACUGGGGAGAGGGGCCCGGAGUUCUGGGCUUUCCUCUUCCUUUAAAAGCGGUAUUGGAGGAGUUUGUUCUGUGGGGAAACCAAGCAUGCUGGUUUGCCUGGGCCUGGGUUUGAGGGAGUUCCCAGACACAGGUCUUCCAGUUUUCAAAGCAGGCCGGUUCUGGGAGAGCCGGGGUGAGUUGUCACCCUGCCAGUGUGAGUGGAUCCUGGAACCACAGGCCAGCUGCUUUCCGGGUGGAGACACCCUGAUGAGCCUGGGGCAGUGCUCUGGGCUCACUGCAACCUCCACCUCCAAGUUCAAGUGAUUCUCCUGUCUCAGCUGCCUGAGUAGCUGGGAUUACAGGCAUGCGCCACCACACCUGGCUGAUUUUUGUAGUUUUAGUAGUGAUGAGGUUUCACCAUGUUGGCCAGGCUGAUCUCGAACUCCUGACCUUCCUCCAGCAUCCAUUAUGGUCCUCUACAUACAUGGAUGCUGGAGGAAGAAGAAGGGAGGAAGAAAGGAAAAGGCACCAGAUCCACAAGCCCCUGCCUUCUGCAGGCUCCCUCCAGCACCCUUUGACAUAGCUUAAUAUCAUGCCACGGCCAAGGAGAAGGGUGGAGUCCAGCCAAUGACAGCAGGCAGAGACUGCAGGGUGAAUUUGGAGCUAAGUUAAUCCAUCAGUAAGUGGCUCAUGUGUUAUUUUUGCAGCUGAGCAAUACACCAUUGGAUAGCUCUUCCACAUUUUGUUUAUAUAUUCACCUACUGAUGGAUAUUUGAGUUGUUUUUAGGUUUUGGGUAUUAUGACUAAAACUGCUAUGAAUGUUCACACUAUUUUUGAGUAUUCUUUUUGGACCCAGAAACCUUGCUAAUGUUACUGAAUUCUAAUAACUUAGCAGUUGAUCCUUUUAUGCUUUUUUCAUACCCAAGCAUAUUUUUUGUUUGUUUGUGACAGGGUCUCGCUCUGUUGCCCAGUCUGGAGUGCAGUGGUGUGACUAUAGCUGGCUGCAGCCUGAAUUCCUAGACUCAAGGGACCCUCCGUGUCAGCCUGUCAAGUAGCUGGGACUGCAACAUGUUUUCAAAAAUGGCACCAUCUUAAAAGAAACCAUCUAUGCAGAUGGCAGGUGCAUCCUAUCAACGAGACAUGGACUGGCUAACAAGCCCUGAAAAUGAUUUCUAUCUGUGCCAUGGAAAUGAGUUUACAACCUUCGGAGAAACCCCACUGCUUCAUCAGAAUGAUGAUUCUAUACUACUUUAACUAGAAGCAAGUCUGUGUAUUCUUGAAGUUGGGCUUAAUUCCCAUUAAAGACGGUUGCAUUUCA